rnacentral:snRNA from 1 species
GAGAAUUUUUCCAGGGAGAUU